rnacentral:rRNA from 1 species
CCUACGGGUGGCAGCAGUGAGGAAUAUUGGUCAAUGGGCGAGAGCCUGAACCAGCCAAGUCGCGUGAAGGAUGACGGCCCUACGGGUUGUAAACUUCUUUUAUCAGGGAGUAAUUGGGUCCACGCGUGGGCUUAGCGAGAGUACCUGAAGAAAAAGCAUCGGCCAACUCCGUGCCAGCAGCCGCGUUAAUACGGAGGAUGCGAGGGUUAUCCGGAUUUAUUGGGUUUAGAGGGUGCGGAGGCGGAAUAUCAAGUCAGUGGUAAAAAUUCGGGGCUAAACCCAGUAGUGCCGUUGAAACUGGUGUUCUUGAGUAGGCGAGAGGUAUGCGGAAUGCGUGGUGUAGCGGUGAAAUGCAUAGAUAUCACGAAGAACUCCGAUUGCGAAGGCAGCAUACCGGCGCCCAACUGACACUGAAGCACGAAAGCGUGGGUAUCGAACAGGAUUAGAUACCCGAGUAGUC